rnacentral:rRNA from 1 species
AGAGUUUGAUCCUGGCUCAGGAUGAACGCUGGCGGCGUGCUUAACACAUGCAAGUCGAACGAUGAUCCGGUGCUUGCACCGGGGAUUAGUGGCGAACGGGUGAGUAACACGUGAGUAACCUGCCCUUAACUCUGGGAUAAGCCUGGGAAACUGGGUCUAAUACCGGAUAUGACUCCUCAUCGCAUGGUGGGGGGUGGAAAGCUUUAUUGUGGUUUUGGAUGGACUCGCGGCCUAUCAGCUUGUUGGUGAGGUAAUGGCUCACCAAGGCGACGACGGGUAGCCGGCCUGAGAGGGUGACCGGCCACACUGGGACUGAGACACGGCCCAGACUCCUACGGGAGGCAGCAGUGGGGAAUAUUGCACAAUGGGCGCAAGCCUGAUGCAGCGACGCCGCGUGAGGGAUGACGGCCUUCGGGUUGUAAACCUCUUUCAGUAGGGAAGAAGCGAAAGUGACGGUACCUGCAGAAGAAGCGCCGGCUAACUACGUGCCAGCAGCCGCGGUAAUACGUAGGGCGCAAGCGUUAUCCGGAAUUAUUGGGCGUAAAGAGCUCGUAGGCGGUUUGUCGCGUCUGCCGUGAAAGUCCGGGGCUCAACUCCGGAUCUGCGGUGGGUACGGGCAGACUAGAGUGAUGUA